UUUUAUUAUUACGAAAGAGUACUUAAUUCAUAUUUUAAAUAACAAUAAAAAUUCGCGGAUUUCAAUUAAUCGAAUAUUUAAAAGAACACCGAUUCGAUAUCAUUCGAUAGCCAAUCAAAGUCACGCAGAUCUUCACUGAACCAAUCAACGUCAAUCAAUAACAUCGCGCGCUUUUUUCCGAGGCGUCAUAAAUCAAUCGGUCAUCGACGCUUAUGUGAUGUGCUUUUCUAAAAAUACGAGUUAAAUAAAAAAAAUUAGACGAUCAUAAAUAAAACGCAUCCAGGGAACGCGUCCGUCUUCUCAACCCCGUGGCGCGUAACUGAGUUUCUUCGUGAUACAGGAACGGUAGUGGUGGAGGUGGAAUAGACGCGGUUAUAGGUUAUGGCGGUAGUGGUAGACCAGAAAAGAAAAUUGGCAAUUUUAUGUUAAUGUUUCUGUGUUUCAUUUAAAUUGAUUUCAUAUUGAAAUAAAUUCUUUGAAAAUGAAGCAUUUCUUCGUGAGCAUCUUACGAGAUUUAAUUGGAUAAGCGUGCUACGAGUGAGAAUUCAAUGAUUUGUCUAUAUGUAUAAGUGAUAAAAGUCGACGCAUAUGAAAUAUACUAUAUAGAUGAAAAUUCUAAAAAAUAAUCAAUGUAAUUAACUAUACGCAUGC